rnacentral:rRNA from 1 species
AGAGUUUGAUCCUGGCUCAGGAUGAACGCUGGCGGCGUGCUUAACACAUGCAAGUCGAGCGAAGCGCUUUGGAAAGAUUCUUCGGAUGAUUUCCUUUGUGACUGAGUGGCGGACGGGUGAGUAGCGCGUGGGUAACCUGCCUCACACAGGGGGAUAGCAGUUGGAAACGGCUGAUAAUACCGCAUAAGCGCACAGUACCGCAUGGUACAGUGUGAAAAACUCCGGUGGUGUGAGAUGGACCCGCGUCUGAUUAGCUUGUUGGCAGGGUAACGGCCUACCAAGGCAACGAUCAGUAGCCGACCUGAGAGGGUGACCGGCCACAUUGGGACUGAGACACGGCCCAGACUCCUACGGGAGGCAGCAGUGGGGAAUAUUGCACAAUGGGCGAAAGCCUGAUGCAGCGACGCCGCGUGAGCGAAGAAGUAUUUCGGUAUGUAAAGCUCUAUCAGCAGGGAAGAUAAUGACGGUACCUGACUAAGAAGC